rnacentral:rRNA from 1 species
UCUGGUUGAUCCUGCCAGUAGUUAUAUGCUUGUCUCAAAGAUUAAGCCAUGCAUGUCUAAGUACACACGAAUUAAAAGUGAAACCGCAAAAGGCUCAUUAUAUCAGUUAUGGUUCCUUAGAUCGUUAACAGUUACUUGGAUAACUGUGGUAAUUCUAGAGCUAAUACAUGCAAUUAAAACAUGAAACCUUAUGGGACAUGUGCUUUUAUUAGGCUAAAACCAAGCGAUCGCAAGAUCGUUAUACUGGUUGAACUCUAGAUAACAUGCAGAUCGUAUGGUCUUGUACCGACGACAGAUCUUUCAAAUGUCUGCCCUAUCAACUUUUGAUGGUAGUAUCUAGGACUACCAUGGUUGCAACGGGUAACGGGGAAUCAGGGUUCGAUUCCGGAGAGGGAGCCUGAGAAACGGCUACCACAUCUAAGGAAGGCAGCAGGCGCGUAAAUUACCCACUCCCAGCUCGGGGAGGUAGUGACGAAAAAUAACAAUACAGGACUCACAUCCGAGGCCCUGUAAUUGGAAUGAGUACACUUUAAAUCCUUUAACAAGGACCAAUUGGAGGGCAAGUCUGGUGCCAGCAGCCGCGGUAAUUCCAGCUCCAAUAGCGUAUAUUAAAGUUGUUGCGGUUAAAACGUUCGUAGUUGAACUUGUGCUUCAUACGGGUAGUACAACUUACAAUUGUGGUUAGUACUAUACCUUUAUGUAUGUAAGCGUAUUACCGGUGGAGUUCUUAUAUAUGUUUAAAUACUUGUAUUUUUUCAUAUGUUCCUCCUAUUUAAAAACCUGCAUUAGUGCUCUUAAACGAGUGUUAAUUGUGGGCCGGUACAAUUACUUUGAACAAAUUAGAGUGCUUAAAGCAGGCUUCAAAUGCCUGAAUAUUCUGUGCAUGGGAUAAUGAAAUAAGACCUCUGUUCUGCUUUCAUUGGUUUUCAGAUCAAGAGGUAAUGAUUAAUAGAAGCAGUUUGGGGGCAUUAGUAUUACGACGCGAGAGGUGAAAUUCUUGGACCGUCGUAAGACUAACUUAAGCGAAAGCAUUUGCCAAAGAUGUUUUCAUUAAUCAAGAACGAAAGUUAGAGGUUCGAAGGCGAUCAGAUACCGCCCUAGUUCUAACCAUAAACGAUGCCAGCUAGCAAUUGGGUGUAGC